CUAAUCUCCGGCAGACCCUCCCUCCCAGGCCCUCCUACUUCCUGGACAGCAUCAACAUGGAUGCUGUCCAGGAGGUGGGAGGGUCUGGGAGGGAGGAUCUGCCGGAGAUUGG